UAACCUGCCCAAGAGAUCGGGAUAACACCUGGAAACAGAUGCUAAUACCGGAUAACAACAGAUGAUGCCUAUCAACUGUUUAAAAGAUGGUUCUGCUAUCACUCUUGGAUGGACCUGCGGNGCAUUAGCUAGUUGGUAGGGUAACGGCCUACCAAGGCGAUGAUGCAUAGCCGAGUUGAGAGACUGAUCGGCCACAUUGGGACUGAGACACGGCCCAAACUCCUACGGGAGGCAGCAGC
rnacentral:rRNA from 1 species